GAUGAACGCUGGCGGCGUGCCUAAUACAUGCAAGUCGAGCGAAUGGAUUAAGAGCUUGCUCUUAUGAAGUUAGCGGCGGACGGGUGAGUAACACGUGGGUAACCUGCCCAUAAGACUGGGAUAACUCCGGGAAACCGGGGCUAAUACCGGAUAACAUUUUGAACCGCAUGGUUCGAAAUUGAAAGGCGGCUUCGGCUGUCACUUAUGGAUGGACCCGCGUCGCAUUAGCUAGUUGGUGAGGUAACGGCUCACCAAGGCAACGAUGCGUAGCCGACCGGAGAGGGUGAUCGGCCACACUGGGACUGGGACACGGCCCAGACGCCUACGGGAGGCAGCAGUAGGGAAUCUUCCGCAAUGGACGAAAGUCUGACGGAGCAACGCCGCGUGAGUGAUGAAGGCUUUCGGGUCGUAAGACUCUGUUGUUAGGGAAGAACAAGUGCUAGUUGAAUAAGCUGGCACCUUGACGGUACCUAACCAGAAAGCCACGGCUAACUACGUGCCAGCCGCCGCCGUAC
rnacentral:rRNA from 1 species